GUCAAAGAUUUGCAGAUGCUAGCUGGGUGUUGUGGUCACCAAAUAUACGUCAGGACUUAUAUAUCCACAAAUUGUUAUAAGGUUGCCACAUUUUUCCAUCGUCUCAUCUUAACUAAGGAUGUCAAUAUUUCUGGAGCCCACUAGUCACUGCAAGGAAAAUAAAAAGGAAACAACGCAAACGUCAGUGCAAGAGCAAAGAGCUACCUCCCAAAAUGCUAUCUGUUUUCAAUCAACUGGAAAAAGAACUGGUUGCACUCUAUCUGAGAGAUUUCCCUCAAACCCAGAAGCGCGUGCAGAGAGUGUGUCUUAUCAUCGGGACAUUUGAAGAAGAUUUCAGACGUGCUACUGGAGUCAUUACACACGCAUUAAAUGCAGAAGUGGCUGGAGGGUUGAUGAUGGGUUUGGGGUUAGUUUUAGCUCCAGUUCAUCAGGGCAUUUCUGCUCUUAUCGCAGGAGCGGGAGCAGCUGUGGUUUCAGGCGCUGCACUCUGUGAUACAAUCUGGAACAAGAAGAUCGUGAGCCUGCAGGCAAAAAUAAUACAAGACACUGAAGCUGAACUGAGCGAAUUUCAGCAUAAAAUCAGCCCUAUGCUGGACAAGAUGAAUGAGAUCAGUCAGCAUGUUAAUGAAAUAUUGAGAGACCUCAGUUACCCAGAGCGUGAUGUUGGGUAUUUAAGUCAAUAUUUUUCAUCUGCCAGUGAAUUAGUGCGUUUCAUACAGAUAUAUGACAUUAGUGUGUUGGCUGCGCAGAUAAAGUCUCAGACAUCAUGUUUGCUCGGAGCUCGAUUUAUCAGAGUUAUGCCAGCUAGAAUGGCACUCCAGCAGAUGUGGAUAGAAAUCGUUCAGUUAGAGAAUGUCAUGGAUGAAAUUACUAAAACAAUAGAAAGAAUAGCAAAUCAGCCCGACUAAAUAUAACAAUAUGAAGGGCUAAACAAAGCAAGAAAGCUCUUUGACUUGACUUGCUCUGACUAUUCCUGGGAUAUAGAAACUAUAGAAUUUAAUGUCUGUUUGUUGGUAUACAUUUACAUGUAAGAUUACAAACACUUUUUUUUUUUUUUUGUCAGCUGUUGAAGUUUUGGUUCCUUGCCGCUAUCGUCUUUGGCUUGAGUAGUUGGGGACACUAGAUAUUCAAUAAUGUUGUUUUGAUAUGCCCGCAUUGACACCAAUUGUAUGCGAACUUAACUGAGCUGGACCAUGACAUCACUGUCUUCUCCAGUGCUGAUAUAUAGAUAAAUAACUAUUGAUUUCUACAACGGAAUGAAUCAAUACUGAAUUUAUUUAAGCUGGACAAUGACACAAUUUUCUUCUAGAGCUGUUGUGCAGUUAUCACUGUAAAGCUGCUUUGACAAUCUGCAUCGCUGUAAUAAAGGUGACUUGACAUUAUGCAAAACAUACACAAGAGCUUCGAUCAGGACUGCAACAAGGUUUGUCUUCUGUAAUGCUGUGAAGAUGUUUUGUUCAUUGUGCAGUUUGUGUUAGUAAUUUGUGCAGGUCAUUUAUUCGAGGCGAUGCAGCGAAAUAAAAACCCUCAAAACGAAACCGAAACUACACACACGGGGCGAAAACAACAAAUUUAUAAUUCGUUUUUGAGAUGAGAUAGGCCCUCAUUAAAAAAGACAUACAGCAACUUGACUUAUUAUUUGUACCCUGCCACUGAUCUUAAAGGAAACUGUCACUGAUCUGAUGAAACAGUUUCGACUCGGACCGAAGACCUCUGAGCCGCUGAUAUGCACAAUUUAUGAAUUGAAUGGUGAAAUUAAAGUUAUGAUUUCUCAUUGUUUAUGUAAAAAGCACCGUUCCUUAAGGCAAGACACUGCAGGAAAAAGCGUGUUGUUUCAGACUAGAAAAAAAAUCUUCCAAAAUACACAUUUAACUGUUUAUUUUAUUGCACUUUAUAUAUAUACAUAUAAUCACACAAACAAACACAUGCUAAAUCUAGCUUGAAGGCAGAAAAUGUGCUCGUGAUGCAUGUUCACACCCAGCUUUCUUCUUCAAGCCAAUAAAUAUCAGUCCAGUGAGCGUCUCAGACACUUUCUGAUCUUCAGCUCAGACUCAUCGAGACUCUUUCAUUCACACAAACUCAAGAACAACUCAAAGGAUGAGAACGGAGGUUUUCCUCGUGCUCCUCAUGACUCUGGUGUCCACUGAUGGACUGAAUAAUGUCACGUUCAACCGAGAGAAACGGGAUCUUUUCUCUAACAGUGCAUAUCCCUGCCAGAGAUCUCAGAAUAACAACGCAUAUAAUACUUUUAAUCGCCGACAUAUUCUCUCAGAGGAUUUUGACAGGAACAGUGAAAGGGCUUGGGCAUUUUAUCUCAAUAGAAAGGGUCUUUGUGGCAGAACACCUGUUCAGUCCUUCCUCUCUAGAAGGUACAGCGAUAGAAUUAAAAGAAUCUGCAACGGAGAAGGCACCAGAGACACAGGAAACUUGUGCAUCAGUAUGAGAAGUUUCACAGUGUACAUUGUUGAAAGUUCUGUAAGAUACAGAGAGUGUGAAGUUCAUGUUCGUCGUGAGAACUCUUAUGUGAGUGUUGCUUGUGAGGUCAUUGAUAACGAAUGUGUGCCUGUUCACUAUGAGGAACAAACUAACAGGCGGCCGUCCCAACGUGGUCAGAUCUGCAGACCUUAAGCAGAGGAUGUACUAAGGAUACAUGUUUAACCAUUAAUUAAAACGUUGCUAUGCCACAUGCAUGUAUAAACUGGAUAUAAUUCCAGAAGCUUCUCAAUAAAAGCUUUCUUAGCACAGCGCAGUUUGGUUUUAUAAAACAAACUGAUGAGAUGUGUAGCUCAAAUGCAAUGUAAGUCACUUUAAAUAAAAGUAUCUGCCAAAGCCAUUAAUGUGUCUGUUCUUUUGUGAAAUCAUUUUAAAUGUGUUUGAGUCGAGACACCCCAGGUGAAUGCGAUAAGGGAAAUAAAUAAAUAAAUCUAAUUAGUAUCACAAUUUUUUCAAACAUUUUCUGUACUACACAUUUUCUGAAAUGUUAUGUUUGAAUGUGUUAAUGAGGCAAUAUAUAAUAAAAUAUGCACUAACACAAAUUUUUAGAAAUCUAAACACUGGAUCAGUGUUUGGGUAACAUUACAAGUAUGUAAUCAGAUUACUUUUUCAAGUAUCUAGUAAAGUAACACAUUACUUUCAAUUUGAC
ensembl:lncRNA